rnacentral:lncRNA from 1 species
CUCAACUUGCAACCCCUUCUAGGCAAAAAAAAAAAAAAGCGAGGCAAAUCGCACACACCACUGUUUGCAAGUGAAGCGAAAUGCAGAAAUGGCGAACAGGCAUGCAAAGAGUACAAAAAUGCAUGAAGACAAUUGUGGACGUAUGUGACUGGUCACGUAGUUUAGUUCCCCGUGAACUGUUGCCAGCCCACGCCGGCGCUGCUAGCUUUUCCGUGGAAUGCCCACGGUUUGUCAACAAAGGGUUUCUAUCGUAGGAAAACAAAACUAUAGGGCGUAUCAUAAGAUAAGUUCCUCUUUAUUAAGCAGCCCACUUUCGUACUGUGUCUGAUAGCUAUUGUGGAAUUAUGCGUGCACGGCUUGUUACCCUGCCUGCAGCUCGAUCGAAACUACUUUCAACCCCACAGAUAAGCCGACUUUACAA